rnacentral:rRNA from 1 species
AUUGAACGCUGGCGGCAUGCCUUACACAUGCAAGUCGAACGGCAGCACGGGAGCAAUCCUGGUGGCGAGUGGCGAACGGGUGAGUAAAGUAUCGGAACGUGCCCAGUCGUGGGGGAUAACGUAGCGAAAGUUACGCUAAUACCGCAUCCGAUCUAUGGAUGAAAGCGGGGGAUCGCAAGACCUCGCGCGAUUGGAGCGGCCGAUAUCAGAUUAGGUAGUUGGUGGGGUAAAGGCUCACCAAGCCGACGAUCUGUAGCUGGUCUGAGAGGACGACCAGCCACACUGGGACUGAGACACGGCCCAGACUCCUACGGGAGGCAGCAGUGGGGAAUUUUGGACAAUGGGCGAAAGCCUGAUCCAGCCAUGCCGCUUGCAGGAUGAAGGCCUUCGGGUUGUAAACUGCUUUUGUACGGAACGAAAAGGUUUGGCCUAAUAAGCUGAGCUCAUGACGGUACCGUAAGAAUAAGCACCGGCUAACUACGUGCCAGCAGCCGCCGUAA